rnacentral:piRNA from 1 species
UUUUAUUUGUUGGCUACUGAAGUACUUU